rnacentral:rRNA from 1 species
AGUGAACGCUAGCGGCAGGCUUAAUACAUGCAAGUCGAGGGACAGCACAGGUAGCAAUACUGGGUGGUAACCGGCAAACGGGUGCGGAACGCGUACACAACCUUCCUUUAAGUGGGGGAUAGCCCAGAGAAAUUUGGAUUAAUACCCCGUAAUAUAGUUGAAUGGCAUCAUUUGAUUAUUAUAGCUACGGCGCUUAAUGAUGGGUGUGCGGCCGAUUAGAUAGUUGGCGGGGUAACGGCCCACCAAGUCUACGAUCAGUAGCUGAUGUGAGAGCAUGAUCAGCCACACGGGCACUGGGACACGGGCCCGACUCCUACGGGAGGCAGCAGUAAGGAAUAUUGGUCAAUGGACGCAAGUCUGAACCAGCCAUGCCGCGUGAAAGAUUAAGGUCCUCUGGAUUGUAAACUUCUUUUAUUUGGGACGAAAAAGGGCCUUUCUAGGUCAACUGACGGUACCAGAUGAAUAAGCACCGGCUAACUCCGUGCCAGCAGCCGCAGUAA